rnacentral:rRNA from 1 species
UGAGGGAAGACUGCCCUAUGGGUUGUAAACCUCUUUUGUUUGGGAAUAAAGUGGGCCCACGUGUGGCGUUUUGCAUGUACCAUUCGAAUAAGGACCGGGCUAAUUCCGUGCCAGCAGCCGCGGUAAUACGGAAGGUCCAGGCGUUAUCCGGAUUUAUUGGGUUUAAAGGGAGCGUAGGCCGGAUUUUAAGCGUGUUGUGAAAUGUAGUGGCUCAACCACUGACCUGCAGCGCGAACUGGAGUCCUUGAGUACGCACAACGUGGGCGGAAUUCGUGGUGUAGCGGUGAAAUGCUUAGAUAUCACGAAGAACUCCGAUUGCGAAGGCAGCUCACGGGAGCGCAACUGACGCUGAAGCUCGAAAGCGCGGGUAUCGAACAGGAUUAGAUACCCUGGUAGUCCGCGCGGUAAACGAUGGAUGCCCGCUGUGUGCACCUGGUGUACGCGGCUAAGCGAAAGCAUUAAGCAUCCCACCUGGGGAGUACGCCGGCAACGGUGAAACUCAAAGGAAUUGACGGGGGCCCGCACAAGCGGAGGAACAUGUGGUUUAAUUCGAUGAUACGCGAGGAACCUUACCCGGGCUUGAACUGCAGGCGAACGAUUCAGAGAUGAUGAGGUCCUUCGGGACGCCUGUGGAGGUGCUGCAUGGUUGUCGUCAGCUCGUGCCGUGAGGUGUCGGCUUAAGUGCCAUAACGAGCGCAACCCCUGUCUUUAGUUGCCAUCAGGUAAUGCUGGGCACUCUGAAGAUACUGCCACCGUAAGGUGUGAGGAAGGUGGGGAUGACGUCAAAUCAGCACGGCCCUUACGUCCGGGGCUACACACGUGUUACAAUGGCGCAUACAGAAAGUCGGGCUGUGGCAACACAGUUCUAAUCAAGAAAAUGCGUCGUAGUUCGGAUUGGGGUCUGCAACCCGACCCCAUGAAGCUGGAUUCGCUAGUAAUCGCGCAUCAGCCAUGGCGCGGUGAAUACGUUCCCGGGCCUUGUACACACCGCCCGUCAAGCCAUGAAAGCCGGGGGCACCUGAAGUCUGUGACCGCGAGGGGCGGCCUAAGGUGAAACUGGUAAUUGGGGCUAAGUCGUAACAAGGUAGCCGUACCGGAAGGUGCGGCUG